rnacentral:rRNA from 1 species
UACGUAGGUGGCAAGCGUUGUCCGGAAUUAUUGGGCGUAAAGCGCGCGCAGGCGGUUCUUUUAAGUCUGAUGUGAAAGCCCCCGGCUCAACCGGGGAGGGUCAUUGGAAACUGGGGAACUUGAGUGCAGAAGAGAAGAGCGGAAUUCCACGUGUAGCGGUGAAAUGCGUAGAGAUGUGGAGGAACACCAGUGGCGAAGGCGGCUCUUUGGUCUGUAACUGACGCUGAGGCGCGAAAGCGUGGGGAGCAAACAGG